rnacentral:misc_RNA from 1 species
GCACCAUCACUCAUGCCAAGUGCAAUCUGGUUGGGCUCAGAUGGAUGAGCUGCUAUCACCAAAGGAUAUGCAUUGUUGCCUGCCACAAAUGAAGGCAUGUAAGCAGUAGGUGCUAUUCGGCACCUCACCCUCAACCCAUCUGCAUCAAAAACUCCAACAGCACCAUCACAAAACCCAGUAUACACCAGCAAACCAUCACUCGAAUAUAUCGCACUUGAAAUGGGAGCAGCAAGCGUGUCCUUCGGAUACCAUGAUAGUGAUGUUUUGCUGUCAUAAAUGGCAAUUUGACUUUCAUGGCCAACCAAUAGAUGUGUUUGAUCAUUGUGAAACUGGACUCUAGUUUCGCCUGUCAAUGGGGAUUGGCGACCUGGUGGUGCCUGUAUAAAUCUUGAUUUCCUUUUCUCCCAUCCAUCAAUG